UUGUUAGCGUGAAAAGAAAUAUACUACAUUUAUUGGAUGUUUUAAUAUGAUGAAUAUUCUAGGUAGAGAAUAUGGAUAGUAUCAUUAUUAGUAUAACGUCAACAUUAACUCAACAAUUGUAUUGUUGACAUGAAGAAAAAGCUAUUUCGAGGUUGUUUUGACCAUUGAUUGCUAAUAACACCUGGCGCCGUGACCGGGAUGCAGAUUCUAAGCAGAUGGGCCAAAAUGGGGGCAGCUAGAGAGACUUGCCUAGAACUGACAAGCCUGGAGGGAGCUGGUUGACUGUUGGCGAGAUGGGACAACAGACGAAGAAUAAACGAACCUACUUGAUUUGAUAAACAUUUGUAUGUUUUUGCAGUUUCGUCGGAAGACGUUUCCCACCAACCAUCCUGUCUUGAAAGAAAUAACUUUUGAACCUGAUUAUCUGAUAUUUUCCAGUUUCCCCUCACAACAAUUUGCAUCAAACCUCUUGUCUGGUAAGAAAUUUCCAUUGAAACCAACUGCUGGUAAUACUAUCUUUUUAUACCCCCAUUACAAUUGGUAAUGGGGGCUAUAGGAACCACUUUGUCGGUCCGUCAGUCUGUCCCGAAAUUUCAUCAGAUCUUCACCCAAACUUGGUCACAAAUUGUAUCUAGAUGAUGUAUAGGUCAACUUUGAAUAUGGAUCAUGCCGGGUCAGAAACUAGGUCAUGGGGUCACUUAUUGUGUUUUAAACCUGAAGUUUGUCUGGGCCAUAACUUUGUCAUUUAUUUCAUACAGUAUUUUAAAUGAUGGAACAGUUCAUAAUGAUUUCAAGACAUCUUCUGAUCCCUGGAAGAUAAACUAGGGAUUGAUCUGUCUGUAUAUAACAGUUCAGAGCCUUCCAAUCUAGCGUGAGAAGAUGUAAUGAUAAUGUUAAAUGGAAAUUACAUAUAACCAUACAUGCCAUAAUUUUUCAGACCAAUUCCGGGACAUUGUGUUAAAUUGUCCGGGACUUUUGCCGAUUUUCCGGGACAUGUAUAAAAUGUAGCGAUAUUUAUAGACAUAUGCAUUUUUGGUAUGUUUUGUUUUGUUUCGCAUCGUUAAUUGCAAAAGUUCGAAAGCCUAUCCGAAAUACACUUGAACUAUUAACGUCAAAUUAAACAUUACUAGUUCCGUUACUAGAUACAGGCCAUGUGUUUUCAGUGUAAGCGUUCUAAACAUAGAUGGUGACGUCACUGCGUUAUUGUUAUUAAGACCGGUGUGUAACGCGUAGUUGUUGAUACGCCUUUAUUCAUUUAUAACAUUUAUGUAAUAAAAAAUACAACAAUACAGUACCGUUAGAUCGUCAACUCAAAUCAAUUCACAAUACAUACAACCAAUCACAUAAAACAAAUACAACAAAACAGUAC